rfam:Camelus ferus unplaced genomic scaffold scaffold570, whole genome shotgun sequence.
GAGAGUAUAGCUCAGUGGUAGAGUGCAUACCUAACAUGUACGAGGUCCUUGGUUCAAUCCCCAGUACCUCCA